rnacentral:lncRNA from 1 species
UGGGCGAAAAGUGUAAAAACUGCGAAAUUGAGGGUUCUAGCCGAGAAAAAUUUCAUUUGGUGGACUAAAACUGUUUUUCAAAUAACUUUGGGCUGAAAAAAUAAUUUUUCUACAAGUUUUGAUACUAAAGUGUCAAGAAAAAUAGUUUGAGGACUAAAAUAGAAAUUAUUUUAUAUAAAGGGUUAAAUGUGUAAAUUAUUCAAAAGAAAAGGGGCUGCAAUAAUGAAACAUCCUAAAGUUUUAAAUAAUAAACCCGUCAUGAUGAAAUACUAGCAUCUCGACUAUCGGCAAAUUAUAAUACACCUUCAACACCAAAAAUCGUUAUCAAACGAAUUGAUUCGGUCUCGAAUCAAUAAUGAAUCCGAAAUUACUAACACGACGAAACUUCAAUACACACGCGGAAAAUUCGGGAAGUCAAUACACACGUGAGAAUACACCAGACGUCGAUACACCGUCUUUGGGCCCAAAAGUUUCAAAUCAUGUUUGUUGGGCCUAGCUAGCCCAAUGGCAUGAUCUUUAGGCCCGAAGGAAACUCGCUUACAUGUAGUUGGGUCUUAUAUGACCUAAUUUCGUGUAAAAGGACUUUUACAGGCUUUGUGCUGUUGGACCCCAAGGGCCNUUUGAUGUAUUUAUGAAAUUAGGGUUUAUAGAACCCAUUUAGUGAUUUGAUGAAGAAAUGCCUUGUUACCCCACGAUUAUAGUCUUGUAUUAGGACCUUUAGAGGUCCAGAAGGUCCCAUGCAUGUGUACUUCGGGACGAGACCUAUCCCAGGAAGCAGUUACUCGUCUGCAUGGCAUGGACUCGCCGAGUUGUUCUUCAGACUCGGCGAGUAGCUUGAAGAUGUGCUGGGACUCGCCGAGUUGUUCAUCAGACUCGGCGAGUGGAGUCGGGGUGGCCCCGCGAUUCUUCCACGAGGACCUCGUCGAGUCAAGAGGUAUACUCGACGAGUAGAAAGGGAAUAUUCAGGAAUCUGUGAGGACGACUAGACUCGCCGAGUCGCCAUGGUACUCGCCGAGUCCAGUCGAGUUGACCGUUGACCGUUGACCAGAGUUGACCUAAGUCUGACUUCUUAGGGAUAGUCACACUUAGAUGAUAUGAGUGUUAAUGAGUUAUGUAAUGUUAUAGGAGGAUUGUAGCUCGUUGGUUUGUGCGCGAGUGAUUUCAGGAGUUGCUAGCUUUCAGCACUUACGAGGUGAGUCUUCUCACUAUACUCCACCCGGAGGGGUUUGACUGUGUGACCGGAAGGUCAAGUAUGUUAUGUAUUAUGUUUAUAUGCUAUAAGUGGUAAGUUAAGUGUUAUAUGGAUAUGUAUGCUAUAAGUGGUAAGUUAAGUGUUAUAUGGAUUUGUAUGCUAUAUGUGGUAAGUUAAGUGUUAUAUGUGCUAUGUAUGAUAUGUGGGCCGGAAGGCAAUAUGUUAUGGGCCGGAAGGCGAUUAUGUUAUGGGCCGGAAGGCGUUGUAAUGAGGACCAGAAGGUCAGGGCCUGGAAAGGCGUAUGUGUGUAAGUGUAUAUUGGGGAACUCACUAAGCAUUUAUGCUUACAGUUGUUGUGUAUGUAUGUAUUUCAGGUACUAGCGAGGACCGUGGGAAGGCGCCGGCAUGAUCGAUACACACUGAAGAUUGUUUUAGGAUCUUGGGAGUUUGAAUAAUUGUACUGACCGAAUAAUUAAACUAUUUAUGCCUUGUUUUUAAUGGAAAAUAUUAUGUUUUAAAAAUGAAAAAUUUGUUUGAAAAAUUUGAGUUGUUACAAAAAUAAUUUUCUACAAGUUUUGAUACUAAAGUGUCAAGAAAAAUAGUUUGAGGACUAAAAUAGAAAUGAUUUUAUAUAGAGGUUAAAUGUGUAAAUUAUUCAAAAGAAAAGGGGCUGCAAUAAUGAAACAUCCUAAAGUUUUAAAUAAUAAAUCCGUCAUGAUGAAAUACUAGCAUCUCGACUAUCGGCAAAUUAUAAUACACCUUCAACACCAAAAAUCGUUAUCAAACGAAUUGAUUCGGUCUCGAAUCAAUAAUGAAUCCGAAAUUACUAACACGACGAAACUUCAAUACACAUGCGGAAAAUUCGGGAAGUCAAUACACUCGUGAGAAUUCACCAGACGUUGAUACACCGUCUUUGGGCCCAAAAGUUUCAAAUCAUGUUUGUUGGACCUAGCUAGCCCAAUGGCAUGAUCUUUAGGCCCGAAGGAAACUCGCUUAGAUGUAGUUGGGUCUUACAUGACCUAAUUUCGUGUAAAAGGACUUUUAUAGGCUUUGUGUUGUUGGACCCCAAGGGCCUUCUGGUGCUGCUAGUAAAGUCGAGAAUUCACCAAAUGCGAGUCGGGCUAAGGGCCGUUCGCAUUCACGAUAGCCUUGAACGACUUACGGAAAAUAUCGGGGCUUCGCACCCUCUUUUCCUCCUCGGUCGUGGGGCUACAUGAAGUCCGGGUGUUUGGAUUAAGUGAAUAGUGCGAGCGACGCCUAAGGGAUCGUUUGUAUGGUUGUAAACUAGUCAUUUUCACUAAUGUGUGUUUAUAACAAUUCACAAUCCAUAAUUAAUCCAACAUCACCGGGACUCAACGAAUACACCUGUCAUAACGAAAUAACAAGAUACAAAUUAUUUGAUGCAAAGUAUUAGGAAAACAUCGAGUUUUCCUAGGGUUUUCAAUUAAUACACCUACGAGUUACAUAACGAGUUUUACAAAUCGCUCUUUUACAUUUAUAGAAACAAACAAGCAUACUUACGGAUCUUCACACUUUUUAUACUAAGUUCUUUUCAGAAAAUAUCGAAUUUUCUGGUGAUUUUCAAAACAAUACAAACCACUAUAUUUCAAACAUUACUUAUGAACUCACCAACAUUUCAUAUGUUGACGUUUUUCAAGAUACUUGUAUUCUCAGGUAACAGGUAAACCGAAGGAAAAAAUGUACUCAGUGAUGUCUUAUUGUUU